AACGAACGCUGGCGGCAUGCCUAACACAUGCAAGUCGAACGAGACCUUCGGGUCUAGUGGCGCACGGGUGCGUAACGCGUGGGAACCUGCCCUUAGGUUCGGAAUAACUCCCCGAAAGGGGUGCUAAUACCGGAUAAUGUCUUCGGACCAAAGAUUUAUCGCCUUUGGAUGGGCCCGCGUUGGAUUAGCUAGUUGGUAGGGUAAAAGCCUACCAAGGCGACGAUCCAUAGCUGGUCUGAGAGGAUGGUCAGCCACGCUGGGACUGAGACACGGCCCAGACUCCUACGGGAGGCAGCAGUGGGGAAUAUUGGACAAUGGGCGAAGGCCUGAUCCAGCAAUGCCGGGUGAGUGAUGAAGGCCUUAGGGUUGUAAAGCUCUUUUAACCGGGAUGAUAAUGACGGUACCGGGAGAAUAAGCUCCGGCUAACUACGUG
rnacentral:rRNA from 1 species